rnacentral:rRNA from 1 species
GAUGAACGCUGGCGGCGUGCCUAAUACAUGCAAGUCGAGCGAACAGACGAGGAGCUUGCUCCUCUGACGUUAGCGGCGGACGGGUGAGUAACACGUGGAUAACCUACCUAUAAGACUGGUAUAACUUCGGGAAACCGGAGCUAAUACCGGAUAAUAUAUUGAACCGCAUGGUUCAAUAGUGAAAGACGGUUUUGCUGUCACUUAUCGGUGGAUCCGCGCCGCAUUAGCUAGUUGGUAAGGUAGCGGCUUACCAAGGCAACGAUGCGUAGCCGACCUGAGAGGGGGAUCGGCCACACUGGAACUGAGACACGGUCCAGACUCCUACGGGAGGCAGCAGUAGGGAAUCUUCCGCAAUGGGCGAAAGCCUGACGGAGCAACGCCGCGUGAGUGAUGAAGGUCUUCGGAUCGUAAAACUCUGUUAUUAGGGAAGAACAAAUGUGUAAGUAACUAUGCACGUCUUGACGGUACCUAAUCAGAAAGCCACGGCUAACUACGUG